UACGGGGGGGGCAAGCGUUGUUCGGAAUUACUGGGCGUAAAGGGUUCGUAGGUGGCCAACUAAGUCAGACGUGAAAUCCCUCAGCUUAACUGGGGAACUGCGUCUGAUACUGGUUGGCUUGAGUGCAGGAGAGGAAUGCGGAAUUCCAGGUGUAGCGGUGAAAUGCGUAGAUAUCUGGAGGAACACCGGUGGCGAAGGCGGCAUCCUGGACCGACACUGACGCUGAGGAGCGAAAGCCAGGGGAGCAAACGGG
rnacentral:rRNA from 1 species